rfam:Schistosoma curassoni strain Dakar, Senegal genome assembly, scaffold: SCTD_scaffold0003172
AUCCAGCUAACGAGUCCCAAACAGGACGAGACGCAAGUCCUGGGU